rnacentral:rRNA from 1 species
ACAAUGGGCGAAAGCCUGAUCCAGCAAUGCCGCGUGCAGGAUGAAGGCCCUCGGGUUGUAAACUGCUUUUGUACGGAACGAAAAGCCUGAGGCUAAUAUCCUUGGGUCAUGACGGUACCGUAAGAAUAAGCACCGGCUAACUAC